UUAAAAUUUGUAUCCGUUUAUAAAAAAUAUUAUAUAUACGUUUGUAAUAAUUGAAGAUAUUUGUAUACCGGUACGCGCCGGUUUUAUCGUUUAUUUUAUAUAAAAAAACAGACCAGCUUUUUAAACUGGCGUUUUAAAUUCCGUUAAUAAGUAUAUAUUAAUCGCGGUCGUUAUUUAUAAAAUGCGCGUUGCGAUGGAAUUUAUAAUAUUAUAACGUAUUAUAAAAUAAUAAGCAAACCCGGGCCGGUAUUAUACAAUUAAAGGUUUUGGAAUAAUUUGCGUUUCGGCGAUACCGUUAUUUAUAAUAUUUCCGCGAUAAUUAAUAUUAUCGAAAUUUCCGUUUAUAAUAUUUGCAUUUUUCUUUAUAAAUCCGCGAUCAUUUGCUAUAAAUCCUGGAACGCGACGCCCGGUAUUUGGACGGCGAUCCUUUCCAUAAAUAGCGAACAUACUAUUUAUAUAAAAGAAAAUAAACAAUAACAAAUACUAUAAAAUCAAUAAACGGUUAUAUAACGGCUGGAUACCCGAGAACAAUCAUUCUUAUUAUGAAGAGGAAUAAAAAAGAAAGAGGUACGGAAAAUAUUUUGCCGAUUUUCCUUCUCUUAUAUAUAACGGAGAUUAUUACGUAAUCCCCGCUGCUAUUUAAUUAUAAGAAUACGUGCAAUUAAUACAAAUUUGUAACACGGUUUCAUAUAAUAUAAAUAAUACGUAUUAUACUUGGACAAUAAAUAAUUCUUUACCGAUUAUAUCCCUGGUUAAGUAGUUAAAAAUUGGUAUUAAAAACUACCAUAUUAGUUUUAUUAGUAUUGGGAUUAUUAAAAUAUAAACCCGAUAUAAUAUUAAAAUUAACGAAUUUAAAAACGUGUCAUAUACUUUCUUAGUUUGAAUUAAAUAUUAUUAAUAGGUAAACAUAUUAUAAUAUAAAAGGCGUAUUGUUAAAAAAUACCUUACAAAAUCGAAAUUGCAAAACGUGAAAACGUUAAAAUAUCGUUAAAAAUUUGUUAUAUUUAGAAAUAAAAAAUGUGAUACUUUUAUUUAAAAUAUAUUUACGGUUUCGAAUUCCGUUUAUAUAAUCGGUAUAUAUAAUACCGUUUUAACCUAACUUUCCAAAAGAAUGAUAAAAUUAUUACGCAACCCCGUCGAAAGUAAAAUUGAAUAAUUUAAUCCCUAAAGACCAAAAUAAUUAUAAAACUUAUGCCGAUUUGAAACCGGAAAAAAACACGGUAACAGAGAAAUUAAAUUCCGAACAAGAUAAAAAUAUAGCCGUAAAUCUUUUAAUAAUGCAAAUAUUUAUAUAAUUGGAACCCUGUUAAUUUAACAAACUAAUAAAUAAUCUUCUUACGCAGUUAAAUUUAAAAAGAAUUAUGCCGGAAAAAGGAAAUUUUUGUUAUAAAGAAUCUGUUGUUGAAUUUUUUCUUAUAACCGGAUUUAAUAUAAACCCUUAUAAAUCUUUUCUUUAAAUUUAAAUCGAAUUACCAACAGUUUUAUUACAAUUAAAAGAAACGGAAUUAUAAACAAUUAUAACAAAAUCCAGGUCUAGAAUACCUUGUUAUAUUAUAGGCGUUUGGGGUUUCUAAAAUUAUUAUUAUUUACGAAAACCGUGAAAAGCGCAAAUAAUUUAUUUCAAUUUUGACAAAAUUGAAAUUAUUAAUUAUAUUAUUUGCAUUAAACCCAUUUAUAUUAGGCGUGUAAGCAAAUUCGCAUUUUCCAUAUAACCUAAUAAUUUUAAAUUUAUUAAAGGUAGUAUAAUACUUCUUACCUAAUUUUUACAAUAAAAAAUUUAUAUUUUAAUUUUUAAUAAAUGAAAAAUUACGUUUUCGGCGGUUAAUCACCUUACGAAAUUAAACGGGAUUUAUAAUUUUAAUAGUUAUAAAAUAAAUUUUUUAAAAUUUUAAAAAUAACGUACGGACGUUACCCCACUAAUUUUUAUUUUCAUGGGGUUAUAAAAUUAAUAUAAAAUUCCAAAAUUGUUUUGUUAAUAAAAACUUUAAUUGUAAUAUUUCCGAUUUUUACAACCACGGCCAAAAUCUGUUAACGGAACGGUCCGUGAGGGUUAUAUAAAAUAAAUUUGAAUUUAUUAUUAUAAAAGCAGGUUUGUUUUUAUAAUUAUAAUGUUAUUUAUUAUUAAAUGCAAUUAUUUUCAUUAACCGUGUAGUGGUAAUAAACAGGAAAGUAAGAUUUUACAAGGAAUUUUAUACCGAAUCUCGAUUGAAAUUAUUAUAUAACCGUAAUUUAAACUCUUUUUGGGCUAUUAAUACCUUAUAUUAAAUUAUUGUACCGUUGGAAAAACGCUAAAAAUUUAACAAAUUGGUUUCCCGAAUACAAAUAGUAAAAGUUUUAAAGUAUUUAUUUAAUUUUAUAACGUUGCCUUAUGCGUUUAUUAGGCGGACCGUAAAUAAACUUUUACGGUAAAGUUUUUACAAGGUAUAUCCGUAAAGAAUUUGGUUAUGUCACGUUCGUGUGACAAAGCCUUAUAAUUGGGACCGACGAGGUAUUUGCUAAGUGCAGGUACUGCAGGAUCUUUUAAUCCAUUUGUCGUAUUUGUUAGAUCGUCGGGCAGAUACGUGACAGGUUAUUUUAGGGCAAAGGCAUUAAAUUGAAAAAGAGAAUUCCAAUUUAAAAGGGAGAAUUUUAAUUUCAAGUUUAAAAAUAGAAUUUAUAGCGUUAGAAAUUUGAAUUUAACAAAGGAUUAUUUUCAACUAUCCGUUACAGGGCGUUUAACCCCUAUUAAUAUAAUAUUUUCCAAAUUCCGACAGUUUAUUAUUUGCGCCCAAAAUUUAUAAUCGUAACGUUAUUUUAUUAAGCAUUUAGAAUAACGGAGAUUCUGGUAUUAUCUGCAUUUAAAAUAUAAAAUAUAAAAUUAAAUUCGCAAUUCGAAACCCCAAAUCCAAUAGAGAUUAAUUACCUGCAUUAUUCUUAUUUCUUUUACCCAAACAAAAAUAAAAACCUAUUAAAAACAGUUAAUUAAAUAAUUAUUAAACGGCCUUAAAACUUUGCAAAAUGCUAAAUAACUAGCAAUAUUAACGUUGGAGCUCGGUUGAAUUGAUUGUGCAAGAGCUUUGAAUUUCAUAUUUAAAAUUAAAUUGCCUAGAGGAAAAAAAUUAAUUUUAACCCGGCUCGGAUUUAAAUUUAAAAAAUAAAUA
rnacentral:sRNA from 1 species